CCAAGUUUCUGGCCAACGCCGGGCGCGGUGGCGCGCGCCUGUAGUCCCAGCUACUCGGGAGGCUGAGGCCGGAGGAUCGCG